rnacentral:lncRNA from 1 species
CAGAAGCUCACAGAGGUGAAGGAGCACCUUCAUUGUGAGGACUUGGACUGCGUCUUCAAUAAGAUUUGUGAACACAGCCAUGAGACUCGCCAAGCACAGUCGAACGCCUUCCUCUCGGACGACGUCAAGGCCCAGGUUCGUGCUGCUCUGACGACGUGCCAGUCAAGCCACUGAUACUCCUCUUCAAUAAUUGAUCGCUGUGGCACAUCGCGAUAAACAUUAGAACCAUGUAUCCGUAGUAAACAUUUACUGCAUGUGUCAGAUCCAUUUCUAAACAUGUUCUUGCUUAAUGAAUAUAGAUAAAUGGGAAAGUACGCUACAUUGUAGCCGGCUAUAGAUGCAGGUAAAAAAUUGAAGUUCCCACUUUCUCGGCAAAAACCACGUACAUACGACCGACACGCAAACUACUAUAACUUUCAAAAACAAAAACAAAAAAAGAACAAAGCAUUCUAAAUGUCAAUAAACAGGAACGAUGGAACUAACAAGCUU